UACGUAGGGUGCGAGCGUUAAUCGGAAUUACUGGGCGUAAAGCGUGCGCAGGCGGCUUUGCAAGACAGAUGUGAAAUCCCCGGGCUCAACCUGGGAACUGCAUUUGUGACUGCAAGGCUAGAGUACGGCAGAGGGGGAUGGAAUUCCGCGUGUAGCAGUGAAAUGCGUAGAUAUGCGGAGGAACACCAAUGGCGAAGGCAAUCCCCUGGGCCUGUACUGACGCUCAUGCACGAAAGCGUGAGGAGCAAACAGG
rnacentral:rRNA from 1 species